rnacentral:lncRNA from 1 species
CAUAUCAUCGUCUAGUGGAAGGAGCACAAAAGAAGAAGAUUUUUAAAUAAAGAUCUUACAACAAAAGUAUGCAUCUCUUUCUUUUAACGGAUAUGUGAGAUCGAGAAUCACCUUCUAGCAAUGCUAAAAUAGGGCAAAUUAUUGUUCAUGCAAUUUAAGGAUACCUAAUAUAACAUAUUGGGAUACUAAGAAAUAAUUUUCAGAAGUUUAUACAAUUCCGAGCCUAAAAUGUUCUAAGAUGACUUGAGAGUUUAUCUCUUAUUAGAAAAGAAGGCUCAUUUU